GAUGAACGCUGGCGGCGUGCUUAACACAUGCAAGUCGAACGGAAAGGCCCAAGCUUGCUUGGGUACUCGAGUGGCGAACGGGUGAGUAACACGUGGGUGAUCUGCCCUGCACUUCGGGAUAAGCCUGGGAAACUGGGUCUAAUACCGGAUAGGACCACUUCUUGGAUGUUGUGGUGGAAAGUUUUUUCGGUGUGGGAUGAGCUCGCGGCCUAUCAGCUUGUUGGUGGGGUAAUGGCCUACCAAGGCGUCGACGGGUAGCCGGCCUGUGAGGGUGUACGGCCACAUUGGGACUGAGAUACGGCCCAGACGCCUACGGGAGGCAGCAGUGGGGAAUAUUGCACAAUGGGCGCAAGCCUGAUGCAGCGACGCCGCGUGGGGGAUGACGGCCUUCGGGUUGUAAACUCCUUUCGCUAGGGACGAAGCGUUUUGUGACGGUACCUGGAGAAGAAGCACCGGCUAACUACGUG
rnacentral:rRNA from 1 species